AACGCAAUACACAUCCUGUCGCCUCCUUCCCGAGAAAUCCUCAUCCCGUCGCCUCCCUCUCGUCGCCCUCCGCUCCGCCGCACCCUCGCCACCGUCGUCCGUCGACAGCCACCACGUCCUCGCUCGCGUCGCCUGCUCCGACGCUCGCUCGCCAGCCUACUUCCUUCCCCUCGCCUCUCCGCCUUCCAUCAUCCGCACAAUCAGAACCCAACGAGGAGGCGACGGGAUCCCCUUUUCUGCAAAGCGCUCAAAUUUGCCGGCUCGGGCGGCGGUGCUCCGCCGCUCCUCUUCCUUUCAUAUGACUACGGCCUGUGUCGCCGCGCCGCUCUCCCGUGGGCACCAGAGUCGCCGCUUGGAGGAGGGUCGGGCCGUCCUAGGUCCCCAGAUGUGGUCGCCGGGGAGGAAAAGCGGCGCACCUCCCGAUGCCCGCGACGCCACAAGUCCGUGAUGGCACAGCCCACGGUUGGGUGUUCGACAUCGAUGAGACGCUGCUCUCGAACCUCGCCUAUUACGUGCAGCACGGAUAAUGACCAUCCUUGCCGUUGUCUUGUCCGCGCCGCCUGCAGCACGACCAUCUCCCUAUGUCGUCACGCCCAGAUGUACCGCCGUCCCCGUCAAUUUGCAUUCAUCUGGGCCAGGAGGACGUGGACUGCCCUUCCCAACGCUGAUGUCGUCCGCUCCCCAGCCUACAGGAAGCGCUAUUGAAUUGCGACUCAAUCCGGGCGACUUUCCAUGCUGAUCCAUAGAGACCGUUUUCAUAUAUUUCUACACACAUCUCCAAGCUACAUUUGAGGAGAACAUACAGAUGGUCAUAUUAUUUUGUUCAACUAUGAUACAAGAUAGGGAGAUGAUGUGGGUUGCCAUUUUGGAACCAGAGCCUAAGCAAGAGCAUUGCAAGGCGAUAUGGGAGCUCAGAAAGUCGCCAUAAAACUACCGUUUAAGACCAGGUUGAAAGUUUGUUUGUGUUUACUGCAACUCGCAUGAUGCAGCGUGGCGGUGGCGCGGAGGACCAAGCGGGAAGUGAACCAUCAGCCUUUGAGUUACCUGUCACCCUUGGCAUCGAGAAGAUGACACCCAAGCCGUCUUACACCACAGAUAUUGGCGGUUGGUCCAGCAGGUGAAAGUUAGACAAAGUUGGCCAGUAUACACUCACUAUCACAAUCACUAUCACCGGGAAGCCCAACAUCAAGUGGAACUAUGUUGCCGGCUACGAGAGCACCAAGUAGACUGAUCAAGUUCCCACAGUUUUCACAGAAUGAUCUCCACAGGUAACCUCCGGUGAGGAUGCAAGCUGCAAGCGCUCCUCGAGUCAGCCUGUCCCGAAAACCCGAUGCACAAUAAGGCAUGGAACAUCCCAGGCAAGGAGUUAUCAUGGCAGCAGAUGUCUAAAACAUUGCACGUGCCCUGAGAAGAAAGAUAGGACAGAACAAAUGCUGGCAAAGAUGAAGGAACAAAGAGUGUUUCUUCUGCAAAUGAGGCAUGAGAAGAAAGAUAGAAGAGAUGAAUCCACUGAUUUCAACGUAUAGGUGGAGCGAGAUAAUGCAAGUAGUUGAGUAUCGCCGCGGAGACGAAGGUGGAGGUAGACUUGAGAGAUAGAAGAAUGUGUUAAAGGUGGCAUAAACCUCUUCAAAGUUUCCCUCGAGAUCGAAGAAUGUGUUAAACGUGGCAUAAAUCUCUUCAAAGUUUCCCUUGAGAUCGAAGAAUGUACAUGGCGAAGCGAUUGGGGUUGAAAGCCAUGACCUCUCCCUGGUUGCUGCUGCCACAUCUGAGUGCAGCGAGAGCGGAGGGCGAGCCAUGGACGCGGUGGUGGAGAUCUUGACGAGACUGCACCUCUCGUCCUGGCUACCAUCGUCGACUUGCCGUGGUCCAACGCCGCCACAAGGGGCUCUUGCCUUACGGGGUUAUCAUGAUCCAUUAUAUGCAACCAUGGAGUGGCCCAGUUGGAGUGGAUUUGGAUUGUACAUUUGUCCUACCAGGGAUCUGAGGAUUGGAGAUUGAAGAAGAUGAAUCAUGUACUGGCAGCUUUGUAGCGUAGUAUGCAGAAACUUUGCUUCACAAAGAACCUAAAGACACGAUCAGAAGUUGCCCAUAUACCAGCUACCUGGAUAGUACCAUCCCUGUCCCUAACCCACUGUAAUUUGCUUUUAGAUUGUUGUUCAACUGAAACAAGUAGUACCUUAUGUGACCCUGAUGCUAUGUGCUCCUCUUUCGGCUGGGUGGAUUUGAUUCUUGAACAA